rnacentral:tRNA from 1 species
CAAAAAGUAGCUUAACAAAAGCACUCUGCUUACAAUUGAGACAUGUCAGCUUGGCACUGACCUUUUUGC